UAGCGGGCGCAGCUACCAUGCAGUCGAGCGGUAACAGAUCCAGCUUGCUGGAUGCUGACGAGCGGCGGACGGGUGAGUAAUGCAUAGGAAUCUGCCCGAUAGUGGGGGAUAACCUGGGGAAACCCAGGCUAAUACCGCAUACGUCCUACGGGAGAAAGGGGGCUUCGGCUCCCGCUAUCGGAUGAGCCUAUGUCGGAUUAGCUAGUUGGUGAGGUAACGGCUCACCAAGGCCACGAUCCGUAGCUGGUCUGAGAGGAUGAUCAGCCACAUCGGGACUGAGACACGGCCCGAACUCCUACGGGAGGCAGCAGUGGGGAAUAUUGGACAAUGGGGGGAACCCUGAUCCAGCCAUGCCGCGUGUGUGAAGAAGGCCCUCGGGUUGUAAAGCACUUUCAGCGAGGAAGAACGCCUAGCGGUUAAUACCCGCUAGGAAAGACAUCACUCGCAGAAGAAGCACCGGCUAACUCCGUGCCAGCAGCCGCGGUAAUACGGAGGGUGCAAGCGUUAAUCGGAAUUACUGGGCGUAAAGCGCGCGUAGGUGGCUUGAUAAGCCGGUUGUGAAAGCCCCGGGCUCAACCUGGGAACGGCAUCCGGAACUGUCAAGCUAGAGUGCAGGAGAGGAAGGUAGAAUUCCCGGUGUAGCGGUGAAAUGCGUAGAGAUCGGGAGGAAUACCAGUGGCGAAGGCGGCCUUCUGGACUGACACUGACACUGAGGUGCGAAAGCGUGGGUAGCAAACAGGAUUAGAUACCCUUGGUAGUCA
rnacentral:rRNA from 1 species